rnacentral:rRNA from 1 species
AGCGAACGCUGGCGGCAGGCCUAACACAUGCAAGUCGAACGGCCCUUCGGGGUAGUGGCGGACGGGUGGGUAACGCGUGGGAAUGUGCCCUUUGGUACGGAACAACUGAGGGAAACUUCAGCUAAUACCGUAUGUGCCCUUCGGGGAAGAUUUAUCGCCAUUGGAGCAGCCCGCGUUGGAUUAGGUAGUUGGUGGGGUAAAGGCCUACCAAGCCUACGAUCCAUAGCUGGUCUGAGAGGAUGAUCAGCCACAUUGGGACUGAGACACGGCCCAAACUCCUACGGGAGGCAGCAGUGGGGAAUCUUGCGCAAUGGGCGAAAGCCUGACGCAGCCAUGCCGCGUGUAUGAUGAAGGUCUUAGGAUUGUAAAUUCUUUCGCCGGGACGGAUAA